CAUUUACCUAGGUUUUCAAAAACCAGGAUUCUCAUUUACCUAGGUUAAAAAAAUGACGUAAGCAAGACGACUAAACAACCGGGAGGGACCUUGGUCUUAUCGUUAUCUCGAGGGGGGGGGCAGCCACCCUUAUAACUGGCUUUCUUCAUGGUUCUCUAAAAAUUAAGGCUUUCCUUGCGAGACGAGAAUCUUCACCAUCUGAAUCAUGAGUAAGUUAUAUUUUCCUUUUUUCCCUGUAUUUCUCGUUUAUAAUUUAUUUUCAUAUUUGCACUAUUUUAUAUAUAUUUAUACUACUUGAAAAGCGGUUUACUGUACUUCCAACUUCUUAAUAUCAUUACAGUUCUACUGUCCUGCAUAUCCUACUAUUCUGUUUUUUAUAGUUUCUCUAUUACUAUAAGAUAUUAUUAAAGUUAUUCAUGUGUGUUUAUG
ensembl:lncRNA